AGCAGUCGCCGCGGUAAUACGUAGGUGGCAAGCGUUGUCCGGAAUUAUUGGGCGUAAAGGGCUCGCAGGCGGUUUCUUAAGUCUGAUGUGAAAGCCCCCGGCUCAACCGGGGAGGGUCAUUGGAAACUGGGAAACUUGAGUGCAGAAGAGGAGAGUGGAAUUCCACGUGUAGCGGUGAAAUGCGUAGAGAUGUGGAGGAACACCAGUGGCGAAGGCGACACUCUGGUCUGUAACUGACGCUGAGGAGCGAAAGCGUGGGGAGCGAACAGGAUUAGAGACCCCAGUAGUCCCUGUCUCUUAUAC
rnacentral:rRNA from 1 species